rnacentral:lncRNA from 1 species
UUUUUUUUUUUUUUCUUUUUAGGCCCAAGUCUGUGGCAUAUGGAAGUUCCUGGGCUAGGAGUCAAAUUGGAACUGCAACUGCCAGCCUAUACCACAGCCACAGAAACUCGGAUCUGAGCUGCAUCUGCGACCUACACCACAAAGCUGGAUCCUUAACCCACUGAGCAAGGCCAGGGAUCGAAUCCUCAUCCUCAUGGAUACUAGUCAGAUUCAUUCCCACUGAGCUACGAUGGAAACUCUUAAGUUGGCUUUUUAUUUAUUUUAUUAUUUUGUUUUAUUUUGUCUUUUUAGGGCCACACCCAAGGCAUAUGGAGGUUCCCAGGCUGGGGUGGAAUCAGGUCAAAUCAGAGCUGUAGCUGAUGGCCUACACCACAGUCACAGCAAUACCAGAUCCGAGCGGCACCUGAGACCCACACCACAGCUCACCACAACACCAGAUCCUUAAACCACUGACAAGGCCAGGGAUUGAACCUGCGUCCUCACGGAUACUAGUCAGAUUUUUUUUCUGCUGAGCCAGGACGGGAACUCCUGAGUUGGCUUUUUAAUCAAGCCCCCAAUUGCCUGUCUCCUACCCUCAGGGCUCCCCAGGCACUGACUAGGCUCUGCCCCAGGACCUUUGCACGUGCUCUUCUUUGUCAAGCUCCUUUCCCAAAUGUCCAAUUUGCUCCUCCCUUCGGUUAGUUCCGAGCUCAGAUGCCGUCUCCUCCAAGAAGACCUUCUAGCCCACUACAUCCAAAGUCCCACCCCAGGCCCCUCUAUCCCCUUACCCUUGCUCUGUUUUCCUUCAUGAUACUUACAUCACUGUAUCUGCUAUGUAUCUGCUAUGUAUUGGUUUAUUUACUUACUGUCUCCUUCCCUGCACCCGAACAGAAGUACCACAAGAUGAGGGAUUUGGUACAAAUUUUCCACUUACUCCUUUCCGAGCUGCUGCUGUUGUUGGGGGUGGAGGUAGAUAUUGAUGUGACUAAUAAUGAAACUUUACCCAGAAGCUUCCUCCAUUGGGACAGUCUUGCUGCCCCAGGGAAUUUGUCUAAAGCUCACCUUUCUGAGGCUCCAUGUGGGUCUUUAUAAUAUGAAUUAAGGGCUCUGACUAUGCCGCCACCAAAGCAGUGUGUUCUAACCGCAGCUUGAAAAGCCUCGUUACCAUCACAAUGGCUAAUAUUUAUGGAGCUCUUAUUUUGCACUCACGCCCGAUAAUCUCUUUAUGGGCUUCGAACAAACCUUUUCUUUCUUACCCUCUGAGGUGGACACGAAGCUUAUCCUCAUUUUAUAAAUAAGGAGGGAGCUGAGUGGAGCCCAAGUCACACAGUUGGUCUGAGGCUAAGCCUAGAGAAACCCAGCUCACCUGACUCCAGGCUCCUGCUGUUUACCCUAUCACAGUGCCGCCGGGUUCCGGAAGGCCUGCCGGCUUGGAAAGUCCAUAGGCCCCCAGUCCAGGUGUCUUCCUAGAUCCUACUGAGAUGCUGGGUUCUUGGGGGAGAGGACCAUGAAGGUGGUAUAUAAAUAUAUAUUCAUUUGGGAGUUCCCGUCGUGGCUCAGUAGUUAAUGAACCUGACUAGGAACCAGGAGGUUGUGGGUUCAAUCCCUGCCCUCAUUCAGUGGGUUAAGGAUCUGGCAUUGCCGUGAACUGUGGUGUAGGUUACAGAUGUGUAGGCUGACAGCUGUAGCUCCGAUUGGACCCCUAGCCUGGAAACUUCCAUGUGCUGUGGGUGCGGCCCUAAAAAGACAAAAGACCAAAAACAAAACAAAACAAAACAAAACAAAACACACACACACACACACACAUUUGGGAGUUCCUGCUGUGGCACAAUGGGAUCAGCAGCGUCUUGGGAUCCCUGGCCAGCCUGACACAGUGGGUUAAGGAUCCCGCAUGGCCGCAGUUGCAGCUUAGGUCUCGACUGUGGCUCAGAUCUGAUCCCUGGCCCAGGAGUUCCAUGUGCUACAGAGUGGCCGAAAAAAAAAAAGAAAAGUUCUUGAACUAGGGAUCAUACCUGUGUCAUAGCAGUAACCUGAGCCACAGCAGUGACAACGCUGGAUCGUUAACCUGCUGAGCUACCAGAGAACUCCAUACAUAUAUAUAUAUGGAGUUAUUCCACCUACAAGGUUGCUCCAAAUCCUUAGUCAUUCUCUCCUGUUGAUAAGCUGAGGAGGGUAGUGGGAGAACCUCAGAAUUUCUUUUGGUGUUCUAGCUGUGGCACAGUGGGUUAAUGACCUGUCUUGUCUCUGUGGAGGCACCUGUUCAAACCCCAGCCCCACACAGUGGGUUAAGGAUCAGGCCUAACUCUAGCUGUGCUGUAGAUCGAACAAAGCUCUGGCUCAGAUUUCAUCCCUUGCCUGGGAACUUUCAAAUGCUGCAAGAUCAAAUGAAAAAGAGAAAAAAAAUUUCUUCCUUUCAUCCUAUGGUACAAGAAAGAGCAGCUGGAAUCUACCUGCUCUGGGCUGGUAGAUUUAAUCUGGGCCCCAAGGGGUUCUGCUGAGCCCCAUGAGCUGGAGGGACCCCAGAGUCUCUUUGCCUACACUUGGUAGUGGUUGCAGGGCCUUUUUUUUCUUUCUUUUUUUUCUCUUUUUGUCUUUUUAGGGCUGCACCCAUUGCAUAUGGAGGUUCCCAGGCUAGGGAUCUAAUCAGAGCUGUAGCCGCUGGCCUACACCAGAGCACAGCAAUGAGGGAUCUGAGCUGUGUCUGCAACCUACAUCACAGCUCAGGGUAAUGCCGGAUCCUUAACCUACUGAGCGAGGCCAGGGAUUGAACCUGCAUCUUCAUGGAUGCUAGUGGGGUUUGUUAACUGCUGAGCUGUGACGGGAACCCCUGCAGGGCUUUUUGAGCUUUGUUUUUCCUCCCACAAAAGUCCUAAUCAUAUUUCUAAAUUACACAUCUUGAGGACACAAUUUUGCUCUUUCUCAGAGCUCCUUCCUCUGGUGGUGGGGGGGGGUUGCUGCUUGGGCGGAGGGAGGCCUUGACCUCGCCCCCUGAAGGUCAGAGGGUCUGACCCAACACAAAGCAACAUGCAUUUGGACUUAGUUUUCAUUUCAACAAAGAGGUGAUGAUUUUCCAGAGUGACAUAUAAUCAUUAACCUCCUAGUUGGAUUGGAAAAUGGAUCUCUCUUUGCAGCUUCUGUGCUCAAACCACUUCAUCACACUGUUGUCUUUGGGUAAUUUCAAUUAGAGUAGAGACUGUCUAGCCGAGUCUCAUGUCCCAGUAGUUUGGUGGCUGGUUAAAGGACAGGGAGAGAAGGAAGGAUGCGAUUCGUGUUCCAUUGCCUAGAAUAUCCGCUGGCAUGUCUAUGGGUAAGCAAGGCUGGUCGACAACUCAGCACCUGCCUAGUGCAUUCUGACCACCUGUGAUACACUCAUACACAGUCCUGUAAUUGUGGGGUGAAGCUGGAUGUGUACAAUUAGACUUUUUUUUCUUUCUUUCUUUCUUUCUUUUUUUUUUUUUUUUUUUUUUUUUUUGCUUUUUAGGGCCCCGGAUGCGGGGGGUCCAAUUGGAGCUACAGCUAGGGGUCCUGCACCACAGCCAUGGCAAUGCCAGAUCGGAGUCAUGUCUGCGACCUACACCACAGCUCACGGCAACACCGGAUCCUCGACCCACUGAGCAAGGCCAGGGAUCGAACCCGCAUGCACAUGGAUCCUAGUUGGAUUUGUUGCCACUGGGUCACAAUGAGAACCCCAAUCUGAUGUCAUUUGAUUGCGGUAUCGCUUUCAGGGAUCCAAGACUUGCCCCUGGCUGGGGAUCUGAAAUACAUCUUCUUGGAUGAUCUUGUUUGUUUCUGAGAAGAACCUUCUGUUAUUGAACGUUGAACCCCCACUGUCAGUUCUGAGGGAAGCAGAUGAUUCAGUUACGAUUCUUAGUCUGCCUCUGCCGAGCGAAUGUGCUGCACCUAGUGCAAAAGUUCAAACCCAGAGCAUUCCAUUUCACCUUUUUAGGCUUCCCAGUUCUGGGGGGAGACUGACCAGACUGAGAUUGACUGGUAUCAGCUUAUGCUCUUAAAGGAUUCAAGUCUUCUGUCCUCAUGGCUUCUAUGACAGUGAGAAUGAAAUAGGAAAGUCUUGGUUGAUGAUCCCAGAGCUGAGUGAUCCUGGGAAGAAAAUAUUGUGAUGAAUCAAGGACCAGGCUAGUUUCAGAGCUGUGAGCACUGCACGUUGUCUGGAUCAUAUUGAUGGCUCGUGCUUGUAGCCCAUGGAUUCCCAAUAAAAGCUUAUAAUUGAAAUGGACAUAAAAAGCAGAGCCACAUGAAUUUUACAAAGCAGCUAAUUUAAUAUGAAAUGGAAAUCCUUUGAAACUAAGGAGAGGACAUAAAAGUCCAUUCAAUAAAUAUAUCAGACAAUAAAAUAGAUAAUUGCCAGUCACCAUUAGGGAGCAAUCCUAAAAGAAAAACCGGAUGAAGGGAGAAAUAUUUGGAUGGAGUCAUAGAUGUUCUUUUUAUGUGUGCAUGUGUGUUUUUAGGGCCGCACCCAAGGCAUAUGGAGGUUCCCAGGCUAGGGGUCGAAUAAGAUCGAACCCACAACUUCAUGAUUCCUAGUCGGAUUUGUUUCUGCUGCUCCACGACGGGAACUCCAGGCCUGGGAACUUCAAAAAAAAAAAAAAAAANUACAGGGUGGGAGAGAUUUAACUUGGCCUUUGGGUGUCACAUAGGCCACAUCUGUGUGUCACCUCUUGGUGGAUGACUGGAGAUUGUGUUAAGAAUGAAUCUGAGGAGUUCCCGUUGUGGCUCAUCAGAAACAAACCCUACUAGUAUCCAUGAGGAUUCAGGUUGGAUCCCUGGCCCCGAUCAGUGGGUUAAGUAUCUGGCGUUGCCACGAGCUGUGGUGUAGGUCACAGGCAUGGCUUGAAUCUGACGUUGUUGUGGCUGUGGUGUAGGCUGGCAGCUGCAGCUCUAACUCGACCCCUUGCCUGCAAACUUCCAUAUGCUGCAGGUGUGGCCAUGGUGGGGGUGUGAAGAAGGAUCCAAGGAUGCUUCUGGGUUCCAGAGGACAGUGUAUCACACUGAUCAGCAUUGUCUGGCAUAGAUGCCUGGGGGUGCACACCCAGCGAAUAGCCUCACAUAAAAUCGUCUGUGCAAUUGAGUGCAUCACAGGUUCCGAGUGUGUCAACAGUAUAAGCCGAGUGCCUCAAAUCGUCAGUGUAUGUUGGAGGAAGAACAGAGCCAGGAGGAGGGGGUGCAGUUCACUGCAGGGGUACUGUGCUCAGCACUGGGUACUGCCCUUAACGGGGAGGUUUGGUGUGCUCACUCGAGUGUGUGGGACCAGGGCACCAGGGAUGGUGAAGUGAUUCAAGGAAGAAUGACUAAUGUUCGAGGGAUGGUCUGGGUAUGAAAAGCAUUGAGAGGGACGUUCCUGUCGUGGCUCAGUGGACACGUAUCUGACUAGUAUCCAUGAGGAUGCAGGUUCAAUCCCUGGCCUCACUCAGUGGGUUAAGGAUCUGGCAUUGCUGUGAGCUGUGGUGUAGUUCCCAGACACGCCUCAGAUCUGGCCUGGCAUUGCUGUGCCUGUGGCUCAGAGGCUACAGCUUCGACUUGAUCCCUAGCUGGGAACUUCCAUAUGCUUCGGGUGUGGCCCUAAAAAGACAAAAAAAAAAAAAAGAAGAAAAAAGCAUUGAGAGAAGAACUGGGUUUAUUCAGAAGGCUAGCAGUUGAAGUUAUAACAACUCAGAUUGCCACUUAAUUUAAGGAUUCCUUAACAAUGCAAGUUUUUUGCAAAGGGAAUGUUGCCCAAUGAAAUAGUGAGGCCCCUGCCAGUGGAGAUGUUUGAACAGUGACUCGAUGGCCUAAAGUACCAAUUUUGCAGGGAUGUUGUGGAACAGACCAGAAGUUUGAAUGAAAGGCUAUCUAAGGAGUUCCUGCUGUCUCUGUAGUGCCAGGAUGUAGGUUCGAUCCCUGGACUGGCACAGUGGGUAUUGGGAGCUGCAACUUGGUUCUGAUCCCUGGCCCAGGAAUGCCACAUGCUGAGGAAUGGCCAAAAAAAUCAAAGAAAAGAAAAAAAAAAAAAAGAAAGAAAGAAAAAAAAGAAAAGUAAGGCUAUCUAAGAGUCCUCUGACCAAGAUCCUUUAACCGUUAAGUCAAGGCAGAAAAUGGGGAAGGAGACUAGAGGGAAAGGCUGCCUCCUCCGCCCUGAACGUCCAGGGGGAUGGGAGGGGGGAGGGGACGUAAACUCUCCUAAAGGUCCAAGUCCAUGACUCAGGCCCCAGGGGACCUGCAUUUCUUCCCCCUCAUCUGAAAGCUGGAUUUGGGACCGUCUGCUCUCUUAAGCUGCAGCCCUGCUCAUCUCAGCCACCGCCAGUCUCCUUAGAGGCCCCUCCACAGGCUUGCCCUGACCCUGACCAAAGGCUUUGCUGAUUAGCCCUGAGCUGCUGGUUGCUCUGGAUUUCCUGUCCAUCAGCUCCUUGGCAGGAAAUGGGCAGAUCAGGCCGACAGGAAAGAAGAUGGAAGAAGGUUUGACUGUAUUAUCCAUGAGGAUGCGGGUUCGAUCCCUGGCCUUCCUCAGUGGGUUGGGAAGCUGGUGUUGCAGUGAGCUGUGGAGUAGGUUGCAAAUGUGACUGGGAUCCCUCAUUGCUGUGGCUGUGGUGUAGGUCAGGAGCUGCAGCUCCGAUUCAGCCCCUAGCCUAGGAACUUCUAUAUGCUG